AUUGAACGCUGGCGGCAGGCUUAACACAUGCAAGUCGAACGAGUGGCGGACGGGUGAGUACUGUCUGGGAAACUGCCUGAUGGAGGGGGAUAACUACUGGAAACGGUAGCUAAUACCGCAUACCAUCGGAUGUGCCCAGAUGGGAUUAGCUAGUAGGUGGGGGAAUGGCUCACCUAGGCGACGAUCCCUAGCUGGUCUGAGAGGAUGACCAGCGACACUGGAACGGAGACACGGUCCAGACGCCUACGGGAGGCAGCAGUGGGGAAUAUUGCACAAUGGGGGGAAGCCUGAUGCAGCCAUGCCGCGUGUAUGAAGAAGGCCGUCGGGUUGUAAAGUACUUUCAGCGAGGAGGCGUUACCCGCAGAAGAAGCACCGGCUAACUCCGUGCCAGCAGCCGCGGUAAUAC
rnacentral:rRNA from 1 species